GAUCCUGGCUCAGGAUGAACGCUAGCUACAGGCUUAACACAUGCAAGUCGAGGGGAAACGACAUCGAAAGCUUGCUUUUGAUGGGCGUCGACCGGCGCACGGGUGAGUAACGCGUAUCCAACCUGCCCACCACUUGGGGAUAACCUUGCGAAAGUAAGACUAAUACCCAAUGACAUCCCACGAAGACAUCUGAAAUGGGAUUAAAGAUUUAUCGGUGAUGGGUGGGGAUGCGUCUGAUUAG
rnacentral:rRNA from 1 species